GCCCCCCCAUCACCCUUGUAAGAUGGCACCUCUGAUGUCACUGAGAUCAAUUAGACUUCUCACCAAGAGUAUAUUGUUGGCAGAGUGCAUAAGGGGUACAUCUUCCCACAACAGUGCUGACAGUUAUUCUUGAAUAUUCUAGCAGACAAGGUUAGUAACCUUUCAAACUGGAGAAACUUUUUUAAAAAUAGAGACCAUUUUGAAAAACAAUGAAAAAUUGCCGCAUAACCUGACUUCUCAGUUGAUUCAAUAAAAAACAACCACCACUUUUUGCCAUUUUCAGGAACUGAAGGUAAAUAACAAGAGGUAGUGUUAUACAUGAGGUGUCAACUAUAUUGCUUCUUUAUGUAAUAUGCAAUGGUAUCUAUUUUUAGAUAUUUGAACAUGUGCUGAAUUGCUUAUCAAAGAGCUUCAUAAAUCUUCUAUAUGACCGUGGCUGAGUUUUACAUAAAUUUCAACCAAGCCACAGCCACACUAUGAAAACAGAAGCCUUACUUCUUUCAUAUGAUUUCAGUUCAGCUCCCAAGGGCAAGAUGUUUGGAACUGUAGCAAGUGAUAAAGGCUAUGAACUCUGGAGAAUAAAAGAGGGAGGGAAACGAAAGGGGGAAUCAAUUUGAGGGAAUCUUCCUGAAGACUAAGGUAAUAUCUACACCAUACACUGAAAACACAUUUAUAUUACGUUAACAGUCAUGGCUCCCCCUGCUCCUGAAUUAUGAGAAUUGUAAUGGACCUCUCACAGAACUACAAUUCCCAGCAUUCUUAAUGAUUUAAAAAACCCUUACUUAUUUUUCUCAAACGUCAUACAAUGGGGCCAGGACUGAACAAACAGAAAUGCUUGUAUAGAAGAGAACCAUCUGCUUAACCAGAGCCCUCUCUUCUUGGUCCACUUUUGCAAUUUCCACUUCCAAAGAGAGAAGCAAUUUAUUAAGAAAUCAGUGGCUUACUUCUUCAGCACUGGGGGUGAGGGGAGGGAAACACAAUGACAAUAGCACACAAAAGUUGGAACAUGUGUGCAGCUUUCUCCAAGGUGUGUGUGUCCUCUUUUGGAUUCUAGACUCGUGUGGGACCUGUAUUUAUUUCAAGGUUUUCAGAAGCUCCCUAGAUAGCCUUUUAAAGGAAUUCAAUAGAAUAAAAAUAUCAGCACAUACUCUAGCCCAGAGAAACCCAUUUGUCUUUAAACAAGGAUGGCACAAUUACAGCAAUUAAAUGCAAGCUUAAUUAUAGAGCUAAACUGGUUAUAAAUAACCAAACUUGAAGAAGAAAAGUUCUCGUGUUUCCUAAUGUAGCUUCAUCUCUGUAAAAAGGAGGAAAAGACCCCACAGAAUCUCACAGAAAAGAAAGAGAAAUGUAUGUCAACAAGCGAAAAGAAAAACAAGAAAGGUGUUCACAGUUGAGCAUUCACAUCCCUUAGAUUCAAAGGAGUAUCUUCUACAAAAUGCUUGUUAUAGAUUCAUCAGCUGUUCUGUAUUACAAGAGGUGACUGAAGUGUGACUUCAAAGUGAAUACUCAAAUAUAGAACAACCAAUAGAACUAAUGAGAUUUGAGAACUAUAUAAUACAGUGCUACGUGAGCAGUGGUGUAGUGUUAUGUACACAAGCUUGGGGCUCAUGAACUGCUUUCCUUUUCCAGUGCAACUGCAUGGAAGAGACUGGAAGCUUUCGUUUCAAAUUUUAACUAACCACGGUUUAUCAUUAUGUCUAAACCCAAAUGAACUGUGGUUAGAUUUAAAUAUGAUUUGGGGACAAAAGUGUGGUUUACUUUGAUAACCUAAAUCAUGUUGAUGUUUAACCCUAGUUUGUGGCCCAUAUGUAAUAAUAAAUCAUAUUUAAUUGAAAACAGAAUCAAAAACAUGAUCUCUUCCUCACAGCUGCAUUGGAAGAAGAGAGGAAAGGAAGAGUGCACCAGCGCCAAGCUCAUGUACAUAUGAACUAUAUUUUUUGGUAUGAUUUUUCAACUAGCUGUGACAGGAUCUGUCAGAAUUAUCAGCUAGCUCACAUUUAACAAUUUUGCUCACCAAAGUGUAGCAGGGUAAGUUUGUCAAAUGCAAGACAAAUUAUGUCAAUAAUAUUCUCAUAGUCCUCUAAUUUAAAAAUGAUAAAUUGAGUCUGGCAGAAAUUUAUUCUGGACACAUCCAUGAUAGUUUCUACUAAUAACUGAAUUGUUAUCAAGACUAUUUCAAACUGCUUCCAUUAUCAUCAGUUCUAGCAUCUUUCCUGGAAUCAAAGCUAGAUUGCCCAUAAUUUUGUUUCCUCUUUUCUCCCUCUUUUGAAGACUGGAAAAUUUGCACAGUUUCAGUCUUGCCAUCAUUUUCAGUCUUGUGGUGGCACCUCACCCCUUUCCCAGUAUUUUUGCAAAUAUUAUGGUUCUGAAAGUACUUUAGUUCCCUACGAUGCAAUUCACCUGGCCCCAAAGUUUCAGACUCAUCCAGGUAGCUAGGUAUUCCUUACCACCUUGCUAUCAACCUAGAACUGCAAUCCUGACUCCUCCCCAGUCAUACUACAUUUGAAAAGCUGCACACAAAUCAUGUUUUGGGAGAAGACUGAUGCAUAAUAGGAGUUGACCUGUGGUGCCUCUUCCUUGUCAACAGUUAACAUUUCACCAUCCAUACUCCACAUUAAGCCUACUGUUUCCUUCCUCUUGCUUUGAACAUAGAAGAAAAGCCCUUCUUGUAACUUGCAAAAUCCCUUACCAACCUCAGCUUGUUCUAAGCUUUAGCUUUCCUGGUGCUGCCUCUACAAGUACUGGCUCCUCAUCUGAACUUGUCCUUGGUGUCCUCUCCUUUCUUCCAUGUAUUAUAUAUGUCCUUUUUUGUUUUCUGCUCAUCACUCUGCUUUUUUGUGUAACAUCACUGUCAUUUUAGAUGUCUCCCUCUUUUUUUUGUUUUGUUUUGUUUCUCAGUGGGAUUAUUUGUGAUUCUGCCUCCAGGAAAUCAGCCUUUUUGGGCUUCUAUUCCCAUUAGGGUAUCUAGCCAUCAAAUCCUACUUAGCUUUUCUCUGAGCUCCAGCUGUCCUGAAAUUCAAGGAACAUAUUUGACUGUGCUGACCUUUCGUUUUCAAUAAGAUCCAGAACUCCAGCCCAUUAUUCCAGUCCAAAAAGUCCAACAUUUUAUGGGCACAGUCCCCGCAAAGUUCCCACUAGUUUGAACUCAUCAGCUAAAACUUCCCUAUUGAUUAGAAUCAAGCCAAGGAUAGCCAAUCCCCUCACUCCUGAAAGAGAAUGUUGGCAGCAAGGCAUGCCAAGAAUUUGUUGGAAAAACCCAUUGCAUAGCAGAGUUUUGUCUGCUUACAGAUAUCACAGUAGUGAUAGAAAAACAUUAUUUAUUGCAAUAAUUAGCUUGCCCUUUCCUAAGGAGCUCAAGGCUGCAAAUAUGAUGCCUCCCACCCUCCUUCUACCACCUCAUCAACCCUGAGAGAGAAUAGCUGAGAGAUUGUGACUUGCCCAAGGUCACCCAGUGAACAUCAUGGUUGAGCAGGGAUUUGAACUACAGUCUUUCCGGUUCUGUUCACCACCCCAUCAACAACACUACACUGGCUUAUUUCUAAUACAAAGAGAUGCAACUCUAAUGUAGGAAAACAUUUUCCAGGGCAUCUUUUUUAAAACUAGCAUUUUAACAGUUAUAUAACUAGCCUAGUUUGACAUGAUAUAUUGCCAUAGUUAGCUAGCUCCUCAACCGGCACAGAUGCCAGAAACCUAAAUGCCAGUAAAUACAGGGGAACACUAUUUCUAGAGCAAACAAUAAGUACAAAACACCCCACCCUCUGAUCCAUUUAAAAAGCCUUUUAUAAAAAUAAGACGCAUGCUUUCAACAGGCCUUGUGGGCAGCUACAUCUGGUAAAAAUAAACAUGGCAGGAUUCAGUGAAAACCUCUCCCUGGCUAAAAUAGGGUUCUGAAAGAUGUGGCACCUGUUUUAUUAAUAACAGAGAGUUGUCAAAAAAUGUCCUAUACAGGUAACCCCCUGGGUUCCACGAAUCUUUUAAAAAUGUGAACAUCAGUUUAAAACGCACAUCAGUUAUUUCUCUAAGCAUAUAUUUUUGUAUUUCUUGCUUUCAGCAGGAGACUAAUAAAUAUUAGAUUUCUUACCGCAAAGAUUCUUCUCCCUCUCUUUUACUUCAGGGACCAUCUCCAGAGAGACAAUGAAACUAAAUCUAUGAGAAAACCACAAGCAUAAAAUGUAAGCAGUUUUACUAGAAGAAUGCCUAAAGACAGACACAAAUCUUGCAGGACAGAUAUAACAAGUACACAAACAUAUUCACAGACCAUUUUAUACAUAAGGCAGCCAGAGAAAUAGGGAGCAUUUUGUACAUUAGAAGGUCACAGUUCUCUAAUGUGGCACUACCACCAACCUGUUGCUUUUUAUUUUUUUGACAUUAUAGAUUCACCUUCUCACAUAAAAUGUUCAUUUCUUUCUUCACUUGAGGCUGACUGAAAGGAACUGUCUCAUGCAGACUUCAAAGGCGAUUUAUUUUGUUAUUUCUAUUUAUUACUUGUUUUGCGGAAGCUUAUAGAUCUGUACAAAGUAAAACUAGCUAUACUUUAUGUAUUUUAUAUUAUAUUUUAUCUCGUGUCAUUUUUGUAGGUCUGUCACAGCAGUAUGAUAAACUAUAUAACAGACUAAAAAGUUAUAGGCCCAUUCAUCAUCAAGUAAUUCCAAGGAAACAACAUGGAUUACUUUCCUUUCCUUUUUCUUGACUAAAGUAUCUCACACAGAAAAGGAAUCAAAACCAGAGAAAAUCUUAGGUAACAAGAUACUCAGGACCCUACAUUUGGGUUGGCUCCAGAUGAUUAGAGUAGAUCAACUGAAACCAGUGGAGCUUAAGUCAUGACUAUUGCUUUGAUUGGCUCUACUCUAAAUGUGACUAACUCUGAAUUCAACAUUUUGUUAACAUGUUAUGCCCCUUAGGGGGCAUGUUUCAAUGCUGCAAAGUGAAUACGUAGCAAUUAACUCAGGGUACAUUAAAUAAACUGUUGGAUUUACUUAUUUUUCUUUCUUUCUUUUAAAGGACACUGUGUCCUUUGAAUGCACUGAAGAAGUUAUAGAUGAGUUUGGUGACAGCAAAUGAUAGGCACUUCACUUGGAUCUCAGGAAGCCCUGAUAAUAAUGGGAUGUGACAGGCACCCUUCAAAAAAGUAACAGUUCUGUUCUUGGUAACAGGUCAGAUGAAGAAUGAUGGAACAGAGAAGUGCAGUCGUCACCACACCUGAAGCACUGUCAGGGCAGAAGGUUGGGUAGAACACAUUUUUCGCUCCAUUGUAUUAUUAUUCCUACAACUACUUUGAACUUUGCUACCCGCCCUUUGCCAGCAGGCCCCAGAGAAGGUUACAACAAUUCAAAAAUUAAGAAUUAAACAACAGUUAAAACAGGAAGUGGGUGGACCCUGAAAACACGCAUCUGAGAUGUCAAAGGCCAGGGUAAAUAGGUGUGUUUUCAGCAUUCACUGAAACUUGCAUAGUGAAGGAGCCAGACACAGCUGGUCUUGACCACAAGUGGAAGGACCCCUCUUCCUGCACCCCCACCAGCAGCAAGAGAUGAGCAAUAGCUGGGACAACUGAAAAGCAGGUAAAACAUCUACCACCAUCUCCCUGCUUUGCUUUUCUAUUGCUCCCGCUGAAGAGAGAGGAGAGGUGCUUGGAGGAGGACUCCUGGACCCCACCACAACUGAUCUGCAGAAGCUGGCCUGAUGACAGACUUUCAGGUGGGCUGGAGAGAUUAUUGGGGGGGUGGUUUUGGUUUUGAAGUGUAUGGCUUUUGGACUAGGGAGGCGACUGAGGUUUCAUUUAUCUGCUAACUAGUGGGUCAGAGUAUUGCUUCAUUUAUCAUUUGACUACAUUGCUAAUGUUGUUUGUUACGGUUUAUGGGGCUGGUGUGUUGUUUUUGUUUUCUUGCAUGUUAUAUGAAAUGUUAAUACAAUAUAUGACCUGCCCUCCCCUCCCUUCCCCUGUGUUAUUACUUAUCUGCCUUUAUUUGUCUUUAAGUUUCUUGGAAACUAUCGGGUGGCAUCCAACUAAUAAGGUAAAUAAAUGAAUAAAUGUAAAGUCUUUAUCAUGGUUUUGGAUUCAAGUCAUGUAUGCUGCUAGCUAGCUAGCUAUUGAUUGAUUGUGCUCCAAAAAACGUGGCCAGAUACAAAACAGGACAGGACUGCUACUCCUCUGAUAGAUGUGUAUAGUAGAGAAUCCCCGCUAGUCAUACAAGCCAUAGAUGAGGACUCAUGAGGUAGGUGGUACCAGUACUGCUUCCCCAGAGCACCCAGCAUCCUCUCCCUGAGGCCGCUGCCACACUCUGCCUAUUAUCAGGGCCAGCACUGGCUGUUUGUUAGCUCAAUAUGAUGGCCAGACAAAAAAAGGAGUAAAGGCUCUAAUCAGGUAAAAGAAGAAAUUCAGCAGGUGAAGUUUACAUAACAAUUCCCUCCUUUACACAACAUUCAUAGAGCAGGAGUCUUGUCCUCUUUUUGAUCUGGCCCCUGUAUAUCAAGUCAUUCUAGCCAAGUCCUCUUCUUGUUCUUCCCUGAGUGCCCCCUGUCAGCCUAGCACAUGGUUCAGCAUGCAGUUAUUCAGGAUGCUCUAGUCCUAGCCAGCAUUUCAGAGAAUAAAUUUGUUAUAAACACUCCCUAGCAUGGACCAACUUCCCCAUUCACUUUAAUGAAGCUUCUCCUGCACAAGCUUUUCCUCCCACUCAAUCAAAAUAAAUAGGGAAGGCCAGCAUUUCAGGAAAGAACAUUGGUGUGUAAAGGGUGUUCCGGGCUAAGAUGCUGAAAAUCUAGUCAGUGUUGAUUUCAAGGAUAAGCAAGUCUCAAACGAUCCCAUCUUAAGAUGAAAGAGCUACCAGUUAAUAGUCAUUAGCUAAUAUGCAAAGAGGAAACAGCUAAGACUGAGUUUUCUGUCUCAUUUUGCCAAAGUUAGUAUUAGAUUAGGCACUGGAGUUUCCUCUUAGCCCAGUGUUUGGUACAACAUUAAUCUCACUGUAGUGACUAUGAAACAAAACAAAACCAGUAGCAUACACACACACACUUUCACUCUUGAUGGGAGCUAGCUCCAGAGCUCUUCUUCAGAUCCCUGGGGAAGAUCAAGACAUAAGACUCACCAGAGUUGAACUAAUCAAAACCACUGAUGGCACAAAUUACCCAAGGCAGUCAGCACAGAGGUCACCGCAAAUAAAAUGAUCAAAGGUUCAGGACGAUCAUGCAGCUAAAUAAAAAUGUCACAGUGAUCUGCACUGAGUAAAUAUGAAAAGAAUGGAAGUGAAUAAAAAGCUAGAAGGAUUUCAGAGGCAACCUUCUGGCAAUGAUAGUUUGAAAAGAAGAAUUGGAUUUGGAAGACAUUUUUCUAGUAUAAGCUUUCUGCAUGAUCUGCUUACUUCCAGAGGAGUCUCCUCUCUGUGUCUUACACACACACACACACACACACACACACACACACACUUUUACACUACAGAUACUUCAGCUUGCUAAAAUAAAUCCUCAUUUCUACAAAUGUUCCAUAUAAGUAAUCACUCAAUUGCUGGCAGAAGCAGAAAUCAAAUGGCUUUUUCAACUAGAUUUUGUUAAUACAUUAAUAAUCAGAUUUCACAGUGCCGUUUACUGGCUUUGACCUCACAAUGAAUUAUGCACAAAGAGGUCCCACUUGGCUAUGGAUGUCAAUAUUUUCAACUGCAAACCACUGCAUGACCAGUAAUGGAAAGUUCUGGUUGUACUCAGGGCAGGGCAGAAGUCCAGGGUCCCACAUAGCAAAAUGAGCAAGAUCCCCCAAUAUUACCAAACAGCACUAAUCUGAUAUUUUUAAAGUACCAGUCCAAGAUUCCUAACGUGAUGCUGCUAUUUUUGUUGUUUUUAAACUGAUGUUUAAGGUGUUAUCUCUUCUGCUGUUUUCAAUUCCAUUACUUUGAAAUUCUUCAUUUAAAGAUUUAAGAUAAAUAAGCAAACUUUUUAAAUUAACUAAUGUGCAGAGCAAUCCUAUACAUGUGUUAUGUAUUCAGUGGUCUGUGUUUGCCUGAGUCUGGAAUAAGGAUUCUGAGCUCCUGUGUUCUGAUUUGAUACAUGAUAUCCAAUUUGGGCCUCUGCCAUUGGCCCUUAAAUUCUGAGUUAUGAUUCGCAGCUUUGAAGUUUAGACAGCCAAUCACUUCGGGAAUGGGAGUGGCCCAGGCCUUCAGAAAUGUAUUUAAGCAGUUGCUUUGCCCCUGAUGUCCACUUCUGUUAGUUAAAUAAAGGUUCUUGUUGUUAUCACUGUGUCUUGCCUCGUGGGAACCCACCUACACUUUAACAUGUCUACUCAGAAUUAUUGAGUUCCAUGGGACACCCUCCCAGCUACAUGAGUAUAGUGUUGCAUGCCAAAUAAUAAAAUUAGACUCUAAUCCUGUACCGUUUCCUGGGCUUAAACCCCAUUAAACUCAGUGGGACUUCCUCCUGAGUAGUAGACAUGUGUAGGAUUGCAUUGCCAUAUUGUUCAAGCUACUUUUGUAAAACUUGGGUUACUCUAGAUUUACACCACUGGAGCAAGAAACAAUAUCCGAUCCCCAUGCAUUGCUUUUCAAUACUAUUUUUAUUCCAUGACCUAUUUAAGCAGUUGCCUUUGUCAGAGGAAAGAAAAGCUGUUGCUGUUAACACUGAACUAUGCAUUUCACUGUCACCUUCUGCAUUCUUGACAGAUGAUUCCAUAAAUGAGAAAGAAAGAAAUAAAAAAAAACCUGAGGACAAACAAAUAGAGGAUUUGUUGCAUCUCAUAGCAUUGCCCGUUCAGCCUGAGAAAUAGUCAAUGUCACCACUCUGCCUUUCUUACUUACUUAAAACAUUGCCAUUCCAUCUCUUCACCAGACUCUCAGGGCGGAAUAUGUAUUAAAAGUCUCAGCAAUAUAUAAAAUAAAAAAUUUUAGUUAAUGAAAAAUACACCAGUAUACAGAAUGUCGAUCUGUCCCAGUGCCAUCCUAGCUAUCUGAUCAGCCAUUGCAAUUCCCCAAAGCCCCAUGAUCUGGAACACACCAAAACCAAAACAGAAGGGAAAUGUAGGGAGCCAUGAUGGUAAAGUGCUUUAAAUGGUGCAGGUGUAGCUGGCUUCAAUGAAGAAAAGGCCAGCAGCUCUUCCCUCUGGCAAGCUAACAACAUGAUCCAGAGAGCUGUGGUGGUAUCAGGGCAGGACUCAGAUGCAGAAGUCCAAACGCCUCACUCCGCAGAAUAAGCAGCAGGGCUGGCUUGUGACAUUUUGAAAUGAAUGAAGUAAAGUGCAUGGCCAUCUAAAGGUGUUUGUGUGUCCCCAAAAGACUGUUAUGCCCAGAGUCUAAAACUACCCGCACCACUGCCAGAGAAUGAGGUAUAUGUGUCCUGAUGUCCGGAGAUCACGAAUGCUAGCACCUUACAAUCCUAUGCACCCUGUCCUGGAAUAUGACUCAUUGACUCAUAUAGUAGGGCUUACUUCUGAACAAAAAUACAUAGGAUUUCCAUGUAGAACCGGCCCUAUCAUUAGGCAAAGUAAGGCCGCUGAUUUGCACUUUCAUGAAUGGGACCAAAUGGUUAGAUUUUUGUCUAUCAUCACCAUCAUUAUUAAUACUCUAGUACUAUAAUGAAUGAAUAAUGAUGCGGGUGGCGCUGUGGUCUAAACCACUGAGCCUAGGGCUUGCCGAUCAGAAGGUUGGCGGUUCGAAUCCCCAUGACGGGGUGAGCUCCUGUUGCUCGGUCCCUGCUCCUGCCAACCUAGCCGUUCAAAAACAUGUCAAAGUGCAAGUAGAGAAAUAGGUACCGCUCCGGCAGGAAGGUAAAUGGUGUUUCCGUGCACUGCUCUGGUUUCGCCAGAAGUGGCUUAGUCAUGCUGGCCACAUGACCCGGAAAAACUGUCUGCGGACAAACACCGGCUCCCUCGGCCAGUAAAGCGAGAUGAGUGCCGCAACCCCAGAGUUGUCCAUGACUGAACCUAACGCUCAGGGGUACCUUUACCUUACUAUAAUGAAAAAUUUAACUUAAAUGGCCUUGGAUACUAUGCACCACAGCUUGGAUGGGGAAGCGCCAUUUCCUGCUCCCCCUCCAGCAGCAACAAAUCUUUGGUUACUUCUGGUCAUUGCUCUGUCAGAUUUAGUCCCAUCUCCCACCCAUCAAAACGCAAUAUUAAUAGUCCCUCGGGGCUGUUAUGGGGGUGAACGUUCUGAUUAUGACUACAUAGCAGGUUGCACAUUAAAGUGUGAUACAGUUAUUAAAAUCAAACAUGUGGUCGUAACACAAGGUGAAGAAAACCAUUUUAUCUUUUGAAAUUUCUAAAAUGAAAUAGUCUGGCUACUGAUAGUCUCAGAACAUCUAAAGCAUAGAAACAUCUGAAGCAAACUGAAGCCUCAAUGAGUUCUGUAUUGAUUUUGCGUGUCAAUGCUCAAACAAAUGCUUGUUUUUGUCCGGGAGUAGGGUUUGUUAAAUGGGCACACGCUGCGUCUUAGACACUGAAUUAUAGGCAGGUUCCUUGUUUGCCCAGCUCCUAUGAUUUUACUUAGGUUUUCAAAAACAAACAAUAUUUGUUGUUGAUUUAGAAUGAACAAUAGUGUAGAUCAAACAUAUUGACAGAACAGGAGCCAGAAACGUACAUUUUUAAAUGACAAAGGUUCAUGUUAACUUUGCAAACUUUGCCCAGUGUAAAUGGGAUGCUGACUUCCUGCAAAUAUGGUUUGCAAUUUGCACAUAGAGAGGCAAACUCCAGAAAGCAGGAUCAUUCCCCAUUACUCCUCUCCAUGCCCACAUAUGUCCCCCAAUGCAAUCUCAGUCCUAACUGUGAAUUAGUGCUUCAUCUACACAGAAGCUAACCAAAGUUCUUCUCCUAGGGUGCAGUACUAACCUUGGUCGCUGCCCAUUGAGGCUUAAUGGAGUAGUGAGGAGACCCCUGUAUUCACAGUCCUGCCAGCCAGGGCAGAAGGUGGAACAGCAGGCAGAUCACUAUGUCACCUGGGAUCCAGUCCAGAUCAUGUUUGGCAGGUGGAAGGGGCAGGUGAUGCUGUCAUUACUCCACAGGUGUAGGUCCGUGGAGGUCAGCAAAAUUGGACACCUCUGCCCAAUCCACACAUAUACCAGAGUAUAGGGGGUUUGGAUUUCUCAGCUGAACAAGGAUUCAGGUAGAAUGGGAUAUCCUCACAUGGCUUCAGUAAAUAUUAUUCUUCUUGUGGAGAAAAGGUAGAAAAUAUAUGCAUAAAGUGACAGCUACAGAUUCAUGUAGGGCACAUUAUCUGCAAUGAUCUCCACAUGUACGCACACAGAGGUACAUUUGUGCAAAUUCUGAUCAACAAAUUCUGACCUUGUCCUACACAACAAUUUGCUGUUCUAUAUUAAACAGUUUUGCUAGAUGCCCAUUUUGUUAUUUCUCUUUCCUUUGGCAGCUCUGAUUGCUUCAGAGUUUAGGCAAAGAAUUUCAAAUGAAGUUGUUACACGAUACAUCAAAUACAUUCUCCACAUUUCCCGCAAUUGACAGGUACUGCAGCAAAUUUCCCAUUGUGAAAGCCUCAUAAACCAAACAGAUUAUUCCAUUUCUUCAAGUCAUUUUGAAAGAACCAAAUGACUGGAGCUAUUUAGAUGCUAUUUUGUAUUGUGAGUCUCCAUCCCCCCCCCCGCCCCCUGCCUCGCCUCACCCCGCAUCCACUUUUGUUGUUGUUUCAUAUAGCGGUAAAGAAACAUACUGGGGGAAGGGAGAGAAAGAAAGGUGGCCUUUUAUGUGCAGAUGCUGGAUUACAAAUUCAUUUUGGCACUCCUCUCAGCUAUAAUCAGUGCGAGAACAUUGUCAUUCGGAGUGCAACAUUCAACUGGAUGAACAUAUAUGCCUAUCUGCUGCCACUUUCAUCUACAGUACAGGGUGGCAUGAGAGGCAUAAGAAUGGUCUACAGUGGGACCUCAGGUUAAGAACUGAAUUUGUUCUGGAGGUCCAUUCUUAACCUGAAACUGUUCUUAACCUGAGGUACCACUUUAGCUAAUGGGGCCUCCUGCUGCCACCGCGCCAUUUCUGUUCUCAUCCUGAAGCAAAGUUCUUAACCCGAGAUACUACUUCUGGGUUAGCGGAGUCUGUAACCUGAAGAGUCUGUAACCCGAGGUACCACUGUAUUGCGUUUCCACAAGCAGAACAGGAAGGCACCAAUCCUCUCCAUUGUUUGUCCCAGUAUUUAAUAUUACAAAGUACACAGAAUGCCAGCAUAGCAUUGUCUAGUUCCCUACAGAUGUCACGGCACUAUAGCUCCCAUUAUCCAUGACCAAUGACCAUACUGGGUGCGGCUGAUGGGAGCUGGAGUUCAAUAAAAUCUGGAGGCACCACCUUCUCUACCCCUCCCGUGUGAGUGUAUCAGAUGACCUUUGGCCAGUCACUAUCUCCUAGCUUAACUCACCUCACAAGUUAGUUGUGAGGAUACAAUUGGGUGGAAGGCGAACCACAGACACCUCCUUAAGCACCUUGUUAUAAGUAAGUAUAUUUGCUCUCCUCCAGUCUAAUGUACUUCACAGUGCUAAUGUGCUUCAGCUCGGUUUUCAGCAUUCUUAAGGUUGUGGGGAGAGCCAAUUCAUAUUCCAAAUUCUUUUCUGGCUCGAACCAAUUUUCAUAUACUAACAGGGCCAUCAACAAUCCUUUGCAUUGCAGAAAAGUAUAUAAACAGCUGAACUUAAAACCACCGAAAGAUGAGUUCCAAUGUUUACAAAACGAUUCUGUUUUUGUUAACAGGGGACGCUGGGGACUCGCUGACAUACCAUUCCCAUAAUGUCCAAGGAGCAGCGUUAUUUGAGACGAGACUGAGUUGACGUGACCAUGUAGAAAAGUAUUAAAUUGUGACCUUUCUAUGGUCAGAUUUAAGAACACUGAUCAGGUUAAUCC